rnacentral:lncRNA from 1 species
ACGUCAGAGCCGGCCACAGGCGGCGGCCAGCCCGCGCUGCUGGUACCCCGUGUGCCUGCUGGCCGUGGGCCCCCCGGCUCCCACCCCUUAACCCCUUCCCGGCUUCCCUUUCCCAGACGGCCAUCCCCCAGCUGGCCUGGCCCACAAGAUUCCCAGAUUUCACAACCCGGGCUGGCGCUGACUCACGUACAGGAGAGAUGAAACACUGGAGCAAAGGGGACCGGGUGUGCUGCCCACGAGCAUGAGCGCCGUGAGGAGGCCCGUGAGUAGGGACGUGCGGAGCCACAGGGGAGGGUAUGCUCAGCCUGGCUGAGGCCUCACAAGGGGACAGCACAAGGCUUAAUCAGCGUCCCUGAAAAUGUUUUGUGUGUUUGUUUUUUUAUAUCAAGGUAUAUGUAUUUGUGUAAUUAGGAUAUGUGAAUUGUGUGGGAGUGUGUGCCUGCCGUGGAACAUGUGUGAAGGUUAAAGGUCAACUUAUUCAGGCUGUUUCUUUCUUGCCACGUGGGUUUCAGGGAUGAAAUUGGGGUUAGUUGUCCUUGGUGGCAGGAUACUUUACCCAUUGCACCUUCUUACUGUGUGUGUGUGCAUGUUGGUGUAUAAGAGUGUGUGUCUGUGUCUAUGUGUAUGUAUGUCUGUGUGUCUGUGAACAUGUGUGUUUGUGUCUGUGUCUCUCUGAAUAUGUUUGUGUAUCUAUGUCUCUGUGUAUGUGUGUGUGAGUGUGAGUGUGUAUGUUUGUGUAUCUGUGUGUGUGUGUCUGUG